rnacentral:rRNA from 1 species
UACGGAGGGUGCAAGCGUUAUCCGGAUUCACUGGGUUUAAAGGGUGCGUAGGUGGGUUGAUAAGUCAGUGGUGAAAUCCCCGAGCUUAACUUGGGAACUGCCAUUGAUACUAUUGAUCUUGAAUACCGUGGAGGUCAGCGGAAUAUGUCAUGUAGCGGUGAAAUGCUUAGAUAUGACAUAGAACACCAAUUGCGAAGGCAGCUUGCUACAGGGAUAUUGACACUGAGGCACGAAAGCGUGGGGAUCAAACAGGG